GGUGCAGUAGUUGACUUGUGCCCAGUGUUACACCUGAAACCAAAACUUUUAUAUUCAGAGGAAGUGGGUGGCUUCUUCACUAAGGCGGAUUAAAAUGGCUUUCUAUAGUCAGGAACCCCUAAAGCUGGGGCUGACAUUAACACCUGUUUUAAAUUAAACUGUCUGCGUCAGUCUGUCUGUCAGCCCUAACCCAAUUGUCAACUCAACCAAGGGCCGUUACCUCUGCGCAUACUCCUGAAUCCAAGGCCUGCAAUAGCCAAUCAUGCCUAGUACUGAAAGCAAUUGCCGUUUAGUCUCUGAUUUGGGCAUCUCCUGUAUGUAUGCCACUCGGUCUGAUCCUAAUGACCUUCCCUCGCUUGUCAACACAUGUCCAAGGUAUUUUACCCUUUGUGACACCAGCUGCAGCUUCUCUUUGGAGGCUUUGUGCCCAUUUUUCACCAGGAAGUAGCACAUAGCUAUGGUGUCCUGUUUACAGGACUCACGAGUGUGACAGCAAAGCAGCAAAUCAUCCACAUACUGUACCAGUGCUGCCCCCAGACGUAGUGAACCCCUCCAAAUUUUUUUUAGGAGCUCUGGGGUAUAUGGCUGCAUUGACACCCCUCAGAUCUUGUACAAACCUCCAAGUACCAUUUGCCUUUUUCACAGGUAAGAUAGGAGAAUUGACUGGACAAUAGCUUAUUUCCUUAGUAGCCCCCCCCUUUUCACCAGAUCUGCAUGUACUUCUCUCAGUCCCUCCUCUGCUUCUCUAGAUAAGGGAUAUUGGGCCUUAUGAGGUCGAAAGUCAGACUUGGGGUGGACCACCAAAGGCUCAGCUGACACCACUCUGCCAAAAUCAUUUUUCCCUUUUGCCCACAAGCAAUCUGGUACCUCCCCUAACCAGUCGGGCAGUGGAUCAUCACCUUUCUCCUUAUUUCCCUCUGCAUCCCCCUUUCUCUUUACCUCUACAUACUGAUCUAUUUUGUACCUAUUUCCCUCCACAGCCGAAAGUUUGAAACUAUUCGAUGCUUCUGAUUGGUUAUCCUGUCGCGUCUACAUUUGCGGCCAAUUCUGCUAAUUAACUUGCCUGAGCGGUCUGAGUUUCUGUUGCAGGCAAUGGCAGACAAGGAAAGGAAUGCAUUCCAUUACUGGAAGUAUAAAAAACAUUUCCUAUAUGUUACGUGAAAAGGCACAAAUUUAACUUUGCAAUGCAGUACGUGUUCACCGGCUGUUAAGAUGUUGUCGACAACUAAACAGUCCAUGUCCAACCUAAGGAAACAUCUAGAGUGCAUAUCCACAACCAUGGAGAAAAAGUGGGAGGAGAUUUUCGAUUACCUUUCUAAGGCGUCAUACCCACCAGAGCCUUAGAAAAUACUCUUCUAAAUUCAGUAUUCAUGAUGGAAAACUAUUCUUCGAUGCAAGUCGCAAGGGUGCAAGUCGACGAAGAGUAAUCAAGACAAAGGAGGAGGCCGUGCAUUUUAAGGAAUUUCAUGCCUCACCAAUUGGAGGACACACUGGUAUUAUGAAAACUCAAACUGCCAUGUGUUCAAGGUUCUAUUGGUAUGGCAUGACAACAGACAUUGAGAAAUGGGUACCGUAUUUGCCGGCGUAUAAGACGACUUUUUCCCCCUGAAAAACAUGCCUCCAAGUGGGGGGGUCGUCUUAUACGCCGGGUGCACUUCAGUUGGGAUAGACAUAGCUGCCCAUAGUGGCCUCCCGAUGCCCACCCACCUCAUUCUACAUACCAUCCAGUAUCGCGCGGUAUCCAGCGCGGCUGCGGUGGGUCAUCAGCGUGGCUGCGGCGAGCAUCAGCAGCGAGACAGGGGUGCCAGCCUUUUCGGCGUGACCGGCCCGUUCUGUUCGGCGGGAAGCAGCGGCGCUCCGGCCCGCCCCUUGUCUACUCAGAGCUCGCACAUGUGCACUUGCGCACUAGUGCCGGUCACAAGGAGAUGCAGGGGCGGGCCGGAGGCGCUGCGGUCGUGCUACGGCCGUACAAUGGUGACAAUGACAGGUACUGUAAUGGCACUAAUACUAAUACUAAUGGCACUCAUGUAAUACCGGUAUAAUACCGGUAACAAUAAUAGCACACAGGGGUACACUUUUAUACAUUUUGCAACUCUCUCCUCGCCCCCCUUCUUAUGCAUACCUUGAUAAAUGCUCCCUAUCCAAAUCUCUUAUCAGGUCAUAAUAUACAGUAUGUCACUUGGUAUUAAUAUAUGGUACGGUACUAUAAUACUGGUACUAUCCAUAAUUGGAUUCAAGGGUGGACCAGACUGCUGCUAGUGACAUGGAGACAGGGAGACAGGGAGGGCAGACAGGGAGCAGGGACCAAUCCAAUCAGGCUUUGUAUACAGCCAACAGCCAACCACAGUACUGCACCAUUGUACAGUACAGUACAGCAUAGAAAAUGUCCAGCAGUCAAAACCCUAUCAACCCUAUCAUGGCACCAGCAAAAAGAAAGAAAUAUGAUGCAAGUUUUAAACUUAAAGUUGUAAACUUUGCCAUGGAACAUAAUAAUUGUGCUGCUGCAAGACAAUAUGGAGUAACAGAAAAGAUGGUUCGGGACUGGAAAUCAAAUGAAAAAGCAUUAAAGAGUAUGCCAAGGGGUAAGUGUGCAUUAAGAAGAGGCGCCCCACACUGGCCAGAACUCAAAAAACAUGUAGCAGACAUGGUGGCUCAGCAUCGCCAAAACGGUUAUGUGGUGACACGAAAUACAAUACGCUUGUUUGCACUUCAGUGGGCCAAAUCUAACCCAGAUCACAGCAACAAUUUUAAGGCCACUAUAUCCUGGUGUAGUAGAUUCAUGGCAAGGCAUGAUCUGGUACUAAGGCAAAAGACAAAAAUUGCCCAAAAAUUACCUGCAGAUCUGGAUAACAAAGUGGAUAGUUUCCAUCAAUAUGUAAUACAACAGCGCACUAAACAUGGCUAUGCGUUAAGUAAUAUUGGAAAUAUGGAUGAAAGUCCAAUGAAUUUUGAUAUGAUUGGAAAUAAAACUGUCCAUCAAA